GACGAACCGUGCGAACGUUGUUCGGAAUCACUGGGCUUAAAGGGCGCGUAGGCGGGUUGCCGCGUCCGGGGUGAAAUCCCACGGCUCAACCGUGGGACGGCCCCGGAUACGGGCGGCCUGGAGGGGGGUAGGGGCGGGCGGAACUCUGCGUGGAGCGGUGAAAUGCGUUGAUAUGCAGAGGAACUCCGGUGGCGAAGGCGGCCCGCUGGACCCCAUCUGACGCUGAGGCGCGAAAGCCAGGGGAGCGAACGGG
rnacentral:rRNA from 1 species